rnacentral:rRNA from 1 species
UACAGGGGGGGCAAGCGUUGUUCGGAUUUACUGGGCGUAAAGGGCGCGUAGGCGGCCACCGCAAGUCGACUGUGAAAUCUCCGGGCUUAACCCGGAAAGGUCAGCCGAUACUGCGGGGCUAGAGUGCAGAAGGGGCAACUGGAAUUCUCGGUGUAGCGGUGAAAUGCGUAGAUAUCGAGAGGAACACCUGCGGCGAAGGCGGGUUGCUGGGCUGACACUGACGCUGAGGCGCGAAAGCUAGGGGAGCGAACGGG